GGAUUCAACAAUACAGGGAAUUGGGCACUUGGGCGAAAACGCAACUCAGGUUCUACUUUUUUCUCACAGAGGACUCGACUCGUCUGUCUGGUUUGUUGUCGCGGUCUCGAGGCUGAUGGACCUAGAAGUCGGCCGCUUCGAAGAUGGAACUCAGCCAGUUUUACCCGACUUUGAUGUUUUCCUCAACCUGGAGUUUCAUCAAAGUGAGGUGCAACCAUCUUCGAAGUGGCCGACAAGAGGAAGUGGACGGGUACCAUCAGCCUCGGACCCACGCCCACUCUCGUUCGUCGUCUCGUUUCGUUUCGUCUCGUCUCGUCUCGUCUCGUCUCGUCGUCACUCUUCGCCCUCACCGGCUCACGCGGCGACCCUCUUCACUUUCACGCUCGCAGCCGCCAGGUGGUAGGCCUCCCCGCUGUGGUGGAGCUUGAGCGGGUCCUUGUUUGGCGUGUCCGUGAUCUGAUCGGCAAAGUCAACCUGAAUCUGCGGG
rnacentral:lncRNA from 1 species